rnacentral:rRNA from 1 species
UUAAGCGACUAAGCGUACACGGUGGAUGCCCUGGCAGUCAGAGGCGAUGAAGGACGUGCUAAUCUGCGAUAAGCGUCGGUAAGGUGAUAUGAACCGUUAUAACCGGCGAUUUCCGAAUGGGGAAACCCAGUGUGAUUCGUCACACUAUCAUUAACUGAAUCCAUAGGUUAAUGAGGCGAACCGGGGGAACUGAAACAUCUAAGUACCCCGAGGAAAAGAAAUCAACCGAGAUUCCCCCAGUAGCGGCGAGCGAACGGGGAGCAGCCCAGAGCCUGAAUCAGUGUGUGUGUUAGUGGAAGCGUCUGGAAAGGCGCGCGAUACAGGGUGACAGCCCCGUACACAAAAAUGCACAUGCUGUGAGCUCGAUGAGUAGGGCGGGACACGUGGUAUCCUGUCUGAAUAUGGGGGGACCAUCCUCCAAGGCUAAAUACUCCUGACUGACCGAUAGUGAACCAGUACCGUGAGGGAAAGGCGAAAAGAACCCCGGCGAGGGGAGUGAAAAAGAACCUGAAACCGUGUACGUACAAGCAGUGGGAGCACGCUUAGGCGUGUGACUGCGUACCUUUUGUAUAAUGGGUCAGCGACUUAUAUUCUGUAGCAAGGUUAACCGAAUAGGGGAGCCGAAGGGAAACCGAGUCUUAACUGGGCGUUAAGUUGCAGGGUAUAGACCCGAAACCCGGUGAUCUAGCCAUGGGCAGGUUGAAGGUUGGGUAACACUAACUGGAGGACCGAACCGACUAAUGUUGAAAAAUUAGCGGAUGACUUGUGGCUGGGGGUGAAAGGCCAAUCAAACCGGGAGAUAGCUGGUUCUCCCCGAAAGCUAUUUAGGUAGCGCCUCGUGAAUUCAUCUCCGGGGGUAGAGCACUGUUUCGGCAAGGGGGUCAUCCCGACUUACCAACCCGAUGCAAACUGCGAAUACCGGAGAAUGUUAUCACGGGAGACACACGGCGGGUGCUAACGUCCGUCGUGAAGAGGGAAACAACCCAGACCGCCAGCUAAGGUCCCAAAGUCAUGGUUAAGUGGGAAACGAUGUGGGAAGGCCCAGACAGCCAGGAUGUUGGCUUAGAAGCAGCCAUCAUUUAAAGAAAGCGUAAUAGCUCACUGGUCGAGUCGGCCUGCGCGGAAGAUGUAACGGGGCUAAACCAUGCACCGAAGCUGCGGCAGCGACGCUUAUGCGUUGUUGGGUAGGGGAGCGUUCUGUAAGCCUGCGAAGGUGUGCUGUGAGGCAUGCUGGAGGUAUCAGAAGUGCGAAUGCUGACAUAAGUAACGAUAAAGCGGGUGAAAAGCCCGCUCGCCGGAAGACCAAGGGUUCCUGUCCAACGUUAAUCGGGGCAGGGUGAGUCGACCCCUAAGGCGAGGCCGAAAGGCGUAGUCGAUGGGAAACAGGUUAAUAUUCCUGUACUUGGUGUUACUGCGAAGGGGGGACGGAGAAGGCUAUGUUGGCCGGGCGACGGUUGUCCCGGUUUAAGCGUGUAGGCUGGUUUUCCAGGCAAAUCCGGAAAAUCAAGGCUGAGGCGUGAUGACGAGGCACUACGGUGCUGAAGCAACAAAUGCCCUGCUUCCAGGAAAAGCCUCUAAGCAUCAGGUAACAUCAAAUCGUACCCCAAACCGACACAGGUGGUCAGGUAGAGAAUACCAAGGCGCUUGAGAGAACUCGGGUGAAGGAACUAGGCAAAAUGGUGCCGUAACUUCGGGAGAAGGCACGCUGAUAUGUAGGUGAAGUCCCUCGCGGAUGGAGCUGAAAUCAGUCGAAGAUACCAGCUGGCUGCAACUGUUUAUUAAAAACACAGCACUGUGCAAACACGAAAGUGGACGUAUACGGUGUGACGCCUGCCCGGUGCCGGAAGGUUAAUUGAUGGGGUUAGCGCAAGCGAAGCUCUUGAUCGAAGCCCCGGUAAACGGCGGCCGUAACUAUAACGGUCCUAAGGUAGCGAAAUUCCUUGUCGGGUAAGUUCCGACCUGCACGAAUGGCGUAAUGAUGGCCAGGCUGUCUCCACCCGAGACUCAGUGAAAUUGAACUCGCUGUGAAGAUGCAGUGUACCCGCGGCAAGACGGAAAGACCCCGUGAACCUUUACUAUAGCUUGACACUGAACAUUGAGCCUUGAUGUGUAGGAUAGGUGGGAGGCUUUGAAGUGUGGACGCCAGUCUGCAUGGAGCCGACCUUGAAAUACCACCCUUUAAUGUUUGAUGUUCUAACGUGGACCCGUGAUCCGGGUUGCGGACAGUGUCUGGUGGGUAGUUUGACUGGGGCGGUCUCCUCCUAAAGAGUAACGGAGGAGCACGAAGGUUGGCUAAUCCUGGUCGGACAUCAGGAGGUUAGUGCAAUGGCAUAAGCCAGCUUGACUGCGAGCGUGACGGCGCGAGCAGGUGCGAAAGCAGGUCAUAGUGAUCCGGUGGUUCUGAAUGGAAGGGCCAUCGCUCAACGGAUAAAAGGUACUCCGGGGAUAACAGGCUGAUACCGCCCAAGAGUUCAUAUCGACGGCGGUGUUUGGCACCUCGAUGUCGGCUCAUCACAUCCUGGGGCUGAAGUAGGUCCCAAGGGUAUGGCUGUUCGCCAUUUAAAGUGGUACGCGAGCUGGGUUUAGAACGUCGUGAGACAGUUCGGUCCCUAUCUGCCGUGGGCGCUGGAGAACUGAGGGGGGCUGCUCCUAGUACGAGAGGACCGGAGUGGACGCAUCACUGGUGUUCGGGUUGUCAUGCCAAUGGCACUGCCCGGUAGCUAAAUGCGGAAGAGAUAAGUGCUGAAAGCAUCUAAGCACGAAACUUGCCCCGAGAUGAGUUCUCCCUGACUCCUUGAGAGUCCUGAAGGAACGUUGAAGACGACGACGUUGAUAGGCCGGGUGUGUAAGCGCAGCGAUGCGUUGAGCUAACCGGUACUAAUGAACCGUGAGGCUUAACCU